GCCUUGGGUUCCAGAGGCGAUGAAGGACGUGACCAGCUGCGAUAAGCUACGGGGAGCUGCUGAUAAGCUUUGAUCCGUUGAUUUCCGAAUGGGGCAACCCGUCUGUAUAGACACAUAGGAGCGAACCUGCUGAACUGAAACAUCUAAGUAAGCAGAGGAAAAGAAAAUAAUAAUGAUUUCCAGAGUAGUGGCGAGCGAAAUGGAAAGAGCCCAAACCAUGUAUGUUACGGCAUAUAUGGGGUUGUAGGACCUGCAU
rnacentral:rRNA from 1 species